GGAAAGUAGAACAUCAACAAAGAGCACAGUGACAAGCAGCACCUGCCAGUUCAUUUGUGAUGUUUAAGACGCGGCCUGCAAUUGCAUGAAAUUUUCUCAGAGACCCAGAAAUUUGGCUCCUGUUAUCACGCUUUGUUGCUUCUGUUCAGAUUUAAUGAGGAGUUUGAACUUUCUAGCACCCAUUUUAAAUGUUUUCGGCAGUGGCAGUGGGUCUCCAACUUGAGCGUAGAUUAGAAUCUUCUGAAAGAUUCAUGUUCCCAAUUGCCAGGCCCCUCCCCCUGCGCUCCUGAUUCAGUAGGUUUCUUCUAGGAUCCGGGAAUUUGCAAUUCAAGAUUCACAAGUGAUGCUGCGACUGGUCCGGGGAAAUCACUGCUGAAGUGGAGGCUCUUGCUGUCCCGCCCAGAUCUCCUUUACCAGACUGUGAGCUCCAGAAAAGUAAGAAAUAAUUGGAAUGCCUAGUAUAGUAUGGGCACCAUACUCCUUUGUUGAACGAAUAAAUGCCUAAUGGAAUGGAUAGUUUUGAAAGAGUUGGAGAUUUCCAUGUUCUCACCAGGAAGGUCAGACUUCAUCAUCUAGUGAGUGGCAAAGAUGUUCAACACGGGAAAAGGUUUUGCUUGAAACCAACAUUUUAUAUUUGAAACAACUUAAACACCUAAGCAUCAGGAAUGAGCAUCGCGAAGAGUCAGACACGACUGAGCGAGUGAACUGGACUGAACUGAAAAACCUAAGCAUCAGACCAGCCAGAAGAGCCUAGAAGAGCAGAGAGAACUUUCAUCUUCCCCAACAGUACCGGAUGUAUUUCUUCUACAAAGAAGAAGAACCAAAUACAGAAGGGGAUUAUUUUCCCCUGUUCCAUGGGAACUAACAAACCAACUAACAAAACCACAACCCAAACCAUAGAAUAUGGAUAAUUAUAAUUGUUCUUUGGUUGUGUUGACGAGAGUUACUGCACAUGUCAUUCUUUCCCAAUACAAUAUUUAAACCUAUACACAGAAAGCCAAUCAAUCAACUGACCAAUUCUCUGGAUGGGGGAUGGCAAGGUCAAAAGAAAGCCACAGAGGACAACUAAACUUUUCACGCUGGGAACGCCACUGGUCACUGGAGAAUACAUAUUUUGUGAACUAGAUAAAAUUUUUAUUUUAAAAAGGAGAGAUGUAGCCCACAGAUUCAAUCAUUUAGCAGACCGAUUGUGGUUUAAGAAUCAAGGCACGUCAGGAGC
ensembl:lncRNA